CCUCAGUCUCCCAAGUAGCGGGGAUUAUAGGUGUGCACCACCACGCCCCACCAAUUUUGUAUUUUUAGUAGAUGUAACCCACCUUCCCAACCCAUCCCCAGGCUCUGGGGACCUAGCCCUGCUGAAAUUGGGGGUAGGCCUGCCAGGGGCUGGGGCAGAGAGGGUGGGAGCCUCCCUUCCAAGUAUUUUAGGGUUUCUCCAUGUUGGUCAGGCUGGUCUCGAGCUCCCGACCUCAGGGUAUCCACCCACCUCAGCCUCCCAAAGUGCUGGGAUUACAGACAUGAGCCACCACACCCGGCCCCUUCUUUUCCAACCUCCUGCCCAUUCUUCUCCUCCCUGAAGCCCUUCUGAUUUGAAACCCUUGGCUCCCCUUUUCUUGGUUUCUCCCUGCACUCAACAAGCCCCUCCAGCAAUUCCUAAAUCAGGUGCCAGUGUGACUCUCUUCUCUCUCAUCGGACAAGGGGAAUGGGCCUGUGUCUCCUCCCUCUGAACUGCCAAUUACUAACCUCCACCAUACCCACAGUCUCCACACUACCUCCCAUGCCCCCGAGACUCAGACCCAAAACAGAUCUGUAAAGCAUGUGCGUGUGACCGUGGGAACCCGGGAGUCCUGUCUCCUCUUCAUCCACAGAAAUUUCCACAGAAACCCCAUGGAUUCCCAUUUCAGGUAUUAAACUACCAUGGCCUCUGGGUUUCCCUGGCCCUCCAGGGGCAAUCUGGUUUGUCCUCCAAGACCUCUUCCCUCAGCACCUCAGGUGAGCGGAAACCUUCACGUCCAUGCCCUGGUCACCCACCCGUCCCUCUACCACAGCAAAGCUUAGUGGGGAGCAAGGUCCAAUGGGGGCUUUGGACAGGAGGACCCCCCUGUCUGGGUCAGCUAGAUCAGCUUAGGCUUAGCUGCUCCUGAAGGGGCCUGUGUUGAGCUUCCUGUGCCAUGUUUGGGGUGGCUCUGUGGCACUGCCUGGGCUGGGUAGUUCCGGAUGUUACUAUAGGGAUUUGGAGUGUUACUGUAGAUUGUGGAUGCUGUUGUAGAGUUUGGAGUACAACUGUGGAGUUGCCCUGGAGAUUAUGGUGGGGUUUUCUGGGCUUCACACUAGGUUUGCUUGGGGGUUUUUAUAGGGUGACUCCAAAAGGUCACAGGCCUGUGCUACUACCUGGCCCAGAGGAAGGGAGGGAGCUAAGGCUGUAAAAGAAAGCUAGGGAGUUUGGAGGGGGAAGGACAGAGGUGACCCAGCUUCCUAGAGGAGGGGAUAGUUUGAAGUUGUAGGGCAGCAAGGCUCUGCUCUACCCCAUCUUGGUAUUCAAGUCCCGAACCCUGGCCAACAGCCUCCUUUGUUGGCAGUGAGGGGCUGGGAAUGAAGAAGGCUACUUGCUCCCCGGGAGGGAUGGCAGGCCAGAUGCUGUGCGUGCUCCCGGCUUUCUGUAGGGAGGAAGGACCAGGCCUGGUCCUGGGCAGCAGUAUGGUCCUCCUGGGUGUAUGUCCCCAGCAAUAACUGAGCCCAGAGCUCCCACCUCAGUCUUGGAGCCCUGCCCUGGGUGUUGCUGAGGCAGGGCAGAAUCUGGAGGAAAAUGGCAUAGACCCUAGGGACCCUGAACUUACAGGGAUGACAGACCCUAAUCUUGGACCCGAGUGAAUAGAGAACUCUUCUUGCAGUUUAAUCAUGAAAAACUCCCCAAGAGACAGAAGUGUAGAGCCAGCAUUGGGCACAGUCUGAGAAGGGAGAGGGUUCCAAGUAGUAACAGCUGAGGGAAGGUGUAGAGGUGAGCAAGGAUGAGGGUAGUUUAGCCCCAGAGACUUGGCAUAGGGAAAGAAGAGUCAUUCACUCUUGUAUCCAUCAUUCACUUAGCAAACAGUCGCAAGAGCAGCUCUACAUCGGCAUGGUACCAGAAAACACAGAGAUGAAUUACACAGGCAGGGACAGCAACUGGAGAGACUCCCAGAAACUCAGUCCUCCUCCAGAAUACUAGCACCAGCUUCAGAGUUCUCUGGGUCCAUGCUAGCUGAGCUUCUACCUCCCUGCCUCUCCAGUCUAAAAGAAUCCAUUCCCCAGCAUUUUACUUAUUCCUCAGAGUCCCACCCCUGCCUCAGUCCUUGCUCCAGAUCCACCACUCAAAUAUGCCAUGCUCCUCCCCUCUGGGCAGAACCUGGAGCCCCUUCUGGACCACAGCUACAGCAGGAGGGAUUGGGGCUAGAUAUUCUGAGCACCUUCCCAGUGGCAGAGAGGAGUGGUGCUGAGGAGUUGAGCAGGGGGCCAAGGUAGGGAUGCGAGCUUGAGUCCAGGCCCGAGAUCCUCAGCCUGACUUUGCAUCUUGCUGGGAGAGGCAUCAUUCAUCCACCCAGGGGUGGAGAUGGGGCAGGAGGAGGGGAAUGAAAAACACCCACAGCCCAUUAACCUACUUUUGCAACUUCAUUAAAACAGAGUCUUCGACAUGUUGCCAUAAAUUGUCUUCUGAGGAGGAAGCCAGAUCCAACAUCAAGUUCUAGCAGUGAAGCUUCAGAGAAAAGGCUGGGAUAGCCAGAUGACAAGCUGAAGCCUAGAAUGAUUUAGGCUGAGGAUACCAUCUGCCUGAGAGCCCCCUCCUCUUGGAGUCUUGCUCCUCAAAAUGUGACUUAAGAACCAGCAGCAUCAGCAUCCCUGGAAGCGUGCUACCAAUGCAUUCUUGGGCCUCAACUCAGACCUAUUCAAUCCAACUCUCCAGUUUAGCAAGGUCCCAAGGUGAUUUUUAUGCACAUUAAAGUUUGAAAGCAAUAGUCUAAAGAACCAGAAAUGCCAGACCAGGGGUCCAACAGGGAAACUGAAUGCCUAAGACAUUCAUUCAUUCAUUUACCCAUUCAAUAAAUACUUAAUAAGCA